UUCUUACAUUUAAUUCAACCUUUUUUUUCUAUUUGAUUUGAGAUUCAACCGUUGUACUGUAACUGAAAGAGGUGGACUUUUUUAUAUAUUGAUAUCAAAUAGAUAUAUGGGUCUGCACUUUAGCGCAGAUCGACACGGAUUACUCGUAAUCCGUUCGUUAUUGCCAAAUCAAUUGAAAAAUCAAUUG
rnacentral:tRNA from 1 species